rnacentral:misc_RNA from 1 species
AGCAGCCGCGGUAAUUCCAGCUCCAAUAGCGUAUAUUAAAGUUGUUGCAGUUAAAAGCUCGUAGUUGAAUUUCGGGAUCAAUAUAUCGGUCGUGCCUUGGUACGUACUGGUAUCAUUGGUUUCUCCUUUCUGACGAACCAUGAUGUCAUUAAUUUGGUGUUAUGGGAAGUUAGGACUGUUACUUUGAAAAAUUAGAGUGUUUAAAGCAGGCUUUGGCUUGAAUACAUUAGCAUGGAAUAAUGAAAUAGGACGUUCGAACCUAUUUUGUUGGUUUCUAGGAUCAACGUAAUGAUUAAUAGGGAUAGUUGGGGGCAUUAGUAUUCAAUUGUCAGAGGUGAAAUUCUUGGAUUUAUUGAAGACUAACUACUGCGAAAGCAUUUGCCAAGGAUGUUUUCAUUAAUCAAGAACGAAAGUUAGGGGUCGAAGACGAUCAGAUACCGUCGUAGUCUUAACCAUAAACUAUGCCGACUAGGGAUCGGAUGAUGUUAAUUUUUUAAUGUACUCAUUCGGCGCCUUACGG